AAAAAUGUAACAGAAUGUUAAAUCUUAUGGGCCUUUGCGCCUAUAAACAAAAAAAAAUUAUACAACUUUCAGCAACGGAUCUCUUGGCUCUCGCAUCGAUGAAGAACGCAGCGAAAUGCGAUAAGUAAUGUGAAUUGCAGAAUUCAGUGAAUCAUCGAAUCUUUGAACGCACCUUGCGCUCCUUGGUAUUCCGAGGAGCAUGCCUGUUUGAGUGUCAUUAAAUUCUCAAAAAAACCUUUGGUAAUAUUAUUAUCAAAUGGCUUUCUUGGAUGUGAGGGUUUGUUGGCGAAAGUCAACUCCCUUGAAAAGCAUUAGCUUGGUUGACUGGACUUAUGUCUAUUUGGUGUGAUAAUUAUCUACGCCGUUGGAUUGUCUGUUUGUCAAACUGCUUCUAAUUGUCUCG
rnacentral:rRNA from 1 species